rnacentral:pre_miRNA from 1 species
GUAUCCGUGCGUAUCGGGAUGUAUCGGAAAGUAUCAGAUUAUUAUUUUUUUUUAAAAUAAAAUUUAAUAUUUGGAUACUCCCCGGAUACAUAUCGGGAAGUAU